AGCUUCGUGCAGUGACAGUAUUAUAGCCAAUGAGAAUUUUCCAAGGCAUGAUUAUUACUAAUUAAAAGCUUUUGUUAAUACCCCAUUAGAUGUUUCCUAGGAUUUCACAUUUUUAGAUGCCAUUUUGG
rnacentral:snRNA from 1 species